rnacentral:rRNA from 1 species
GACUACGGUCAUACCACCCGGAACGCCUUGGUCUCUGUCUGAUCCCAGAAACUAAGCAGGAUCAAGCCUGGUUAGUACUUAGAUGAGAGAAUAGAGGAAGAGAGUUGUGUCA